CGUGAAGUUCUCCGAGAUUUCUGAGGCACCUUGCCAAGUUUUCCCUCGCCUGUUCAGGGGGGUGUUUGACAGGCAGGAUUUCAAAUACUUCGGGUUCCAGAAGGUUUCGAAACCACAUCGAAGGAAAGUUUCGACCGAUUGGCACCGUUCCGAACUCGAUUCAGCCUUUGAUCCUUAUGGAGCCAUGGCGACUUUUUAAAGGGACGUGCUUGCUUCUGAAAUCUUGAGUCACCCUAUGCCCGACACACGAGCGCACCCUACUCGGCGUGCCCCUACAUAUUAAUAUUAUUUAUAGACGCCGAGAGAAGCGAAUAAAAACCAUAAGUCGGCUAGGAAAUCAGUGCGAAUACAGAGCAGAGGCAGUAAAACGUCACCGUUUUGCUCGAA